rnacentral:rRNA from 1 species
GACGAACGCUGGCGGCGUGCUUAACACAUGCAAGUCGAACGGUGAAGCGAGUGCUUGCACUCGUGGAUCAGUGGCGAACGGGUGAGUAACACGUGAGUAACCUGCCCAUCACUCUGGGAUAAGCACUGGAAACGGUGUCUAAUACUGGAUACGACCAACCCUUGCAUGGGGUGUUGGUGGAAAGAUUUAUCGGUGAUGGAUGGACUCGCGGCCUAUCAGCUUGUUGGCGGGGUAAUGGCCCACCAAGGCGACGACGGGUAGCCGGCCUGAGAGGGUGACCGGCCACACUGGGACUGAGACACGGCCCAGACUCCUACGGGAGGCAGAAGUGGGGAAUAUUGCACAAUGGGCGAAAGCCUGAUGCAGCGACGCCGCGUGAGGGAUGACGGCCUUCGGGUUGUAAACCUCUUUCAGCAGGGAAGAAGCGAAAGUGACGGUACCUGCAGAAGAAGCACCGGCUAACUACGUG